GACUGCUUUAUAGAAUUUAAAAUAUUUUUCAAGUAUAUCUUAAUAUGUUGCAUAUAAUUAAAAUAAUAUAUUUUGAAUGAUCCAGUCAAAAUCACCCUUUUCACAUGUGGUGCCUCCCCGUAAAACAAAAGAAAAUAGCCUUUCUGUAAACCAUAGAGGGUGUUUUGUGUUCAGAGGAGGGGCCAAAUACUUAGUGAGAGGGGGAGCUUCCUGUUAAAACAAUGCAGAGGGAGUCAGAGAGUAGGACUUGCUGUUCUGUGCUUAAAGUCAGCGUUUCUUUCCAACAACUGGCAUAAUGUUGCACUGUUUAUUACUUCUGUUUUCAGCAAUGGUAGGUGACAGUUUUCAGGAUGAAAUAACACCAGAAGCUAAAGAAGUGCAUGUUUUGGAGGGAAACAAUGUCAAACUCUCAUGCACUUACAGAGCUGCUGCAACCUAUCUGUACUGGUAUCGCCAAUACCCCCGAUCCAAACCUGAAUUCCUCAUCCUGGUCCUGGGAACCACCAAUACAACAGAAAUAAAAGGACAGUUUACUGUUACAAA